GACGAACCGUCCAAACGUUGUUCGGAAUCACUGGGCUUAAAGGGCGCGUAGGCGGGCUGCCAAGUCCGGGGUGAAAUCCUCCCGCUUAACGGGAGAACUGCCUCGGAUACUGGAAGUCUCGAGGAGGGUAGGGGCAUGCGGAACUGUGGGUGGAGCGGUGAAAUGCGUUGAUAUCAUUUGGAACGCCAACGGCGAAAAGCAGGCAGCUGGGGGAUGCACCGACGCUGAGACACGAAAGCCAGGGGAGCGAACGGG
rnacentral:rRNA from 1 species